rnacentral:rRNA from 1 species
GGGAUUGCCCUAGUAACGGCGAGUGAAGCGGCAAUAGCUCAAAUUUGAAAUCUGGCCUCUUUGGGGGUCCGAGUUGUAAUUUGCAGAGGGUGCUUUGGCGUUGGCUGUGGUCUAAGUUCCUUGGAACAGGACGUCGCAGAGGGUGAGAAUCCCGUAUGUGGCCGCCAGUCUUCGCCGUGUAAAGCCCCUUCGACGAGUCGAGUUGUUUGGGAAUGCAGCUCUAAAUGGGAGGUAAAUUUCUUCUAAAGCUAAAUAUUGGCCAGAGACCGAUAGCGCACAAGUAGAGUGAUCGAAAGAUGAAAAGCACUUUGGAAAGAGAGUCAAAAAGCACGUGAAAUUGUUGAAAGGGAAGCGCUUGCAGCCAGACUUGCUUGUAGUUGCUUAGCUGGGCUUUUGCCCGGUGUACUCUUCUACAUGCAGGCCAGCAUCAGUCCGGGCGGUUGGAUAAAGGCCUAUUAAACGUACCUCUCCUCGGGGAGGACUUAUAGGGUAGGCGACAUGCAACCAGCCUGGAUUGAGGUCCGCGCAUCUGCUAGGAUGCUGGCGUAAUGGCUGUAAGCGGCCCGUCUUGAAACACGGACCAAGGAGUCUAACAUCUAUGCGAGUGUUUGGGUGUCAAGCCCGAGCGCGUAAUGAAAGUGAACGGAGGUGGGAACCUUUCGGGGUGCACCAUCGACCGAUCCUGAUGUCUUCGGAUGGAUUUGAGUAAGAGCAUAGCUGUUGGGACCCGAAAGAUGGUGAACUAUGCCUGAAUAGGGUGAAGCCAGAGGAAACUCUGGUGGAGGCUCGCAGCGGUUCUGACGUGCAAAUCGAUCGUCAAAUUUGGGCAUAGGGGCGAAAGACUAAUCG